GACGAACGCUGGCGGCGUGCUUAACACAUGCAAGUCGAGCGAUGAAGCUUCUUCGGAAGUGGAUUAGCGGCGGACGGGUGAGUAACACGUGGGUAACCUGCCUCAUAGAGGGGAAUAGCCUUCCGAAAGGAAGAUUAAUACCGCAUAAGAUUGUAAUAUCGCAUGAUAUAGCAAUUAAAGGAGCAAUCCGCUAUGAGAUGGACCCGCGUCGCAUUAGCUAGUUGGUGAGGUAACGGCUCACCAAGGCGACGAUGCGUAGCCGGCCUGAGAGGGUGAUCGGCCACAUUGGGACUGAGACACGGCCCAGACUCCUACGGGAGGCAGCAGUGGGGAAUAUUGCACAAUGGGGGAAACCCUGAUGCAGCAACGCCGCGUGAGUGAUGACGGUCUUCGGAUUGUAAAGCUCUGUCUUCAGGGACGAUAAUGACGGUACCUGAGGAGGAAGCCACGGCUAACUACGUGCCAGCCGCCGCUGUAA
rnacentral:rRNA from 1 species